ensembl:lncRNA
AUGGGGGGGGGAGGGGGCUUCCGGGGCUGCAGUGGGAGCUGCUGCUUGCUCCAGAGCGGCUACAUUCUGUACAUGUUUUCACGGGAGCUUAAAGGAAUAUUUUACCUUAAAGAAUCUCAAACAUCUCUGCUCUGGAAAGGGGGCUGUGGAAGGGGGUCGGAGCCGGUUGCCAUGGGAACGCGCCGCGGCCUCGAGUUAAUCAUUUCCUGUGGAAAGUGUGCGGGAGGGGCUGGAGCGGGGCGGGCCGAGGAGGCAGCGGCGUGGAGCAGCCUCCCGCCAGCGGGCCGGGCCGGGCCGAGCCCCGGGCACUGCGGCGACACCGGGAUCCUGCCUCCGCUAGGCCGGUGAGUCCGGGGCUCCGGCGGGCAGGGGGCGAGCUGGGCUCUUGGGGUCCGCCUGACCAGUCAUUUCGGGUGCCGCGUCUGGGAUCCCCCUGCCCCGCCCCGCUGGGGGGCGCGGGGAGGCCGGGCCCCGGCGAUCCACCCCUUUUCUACCCUCUCCCCUCGCCGCCCCCUGCACCGUCCAGCCUGAGCCGAGCAGGGGAAGCGGGCGGCAUGUCCCCUGGGAUCGGAACAGCCUCGGGGCCACCUAUCUGAUUUCAAUGGCCAGGGAAGCCGGACACUACUGGGGAACUACGUGCCGGUCAGCGCCGCCCCCUCCCCUGGCAGAGGUCCCUGGCAUCCGCAGGGCUCCCCUGAAGGCUGCCGUUUCCGGCCCUCCCAUCUCGUAAGCCCCUGGGCAGUUUGCUUCCCCACCCCCGGGGCCGGGCCGGGUGGGGUGGGCCCGAGGUUAGGAAGGAGCGCCUGGGCCAAUGGUCUCCUGGGCAGAGGGGGAAAUUGAGCCUUUGACAGCAGCUGCCUGGCGAGGAGGGGUCCCAGCAGGGAGGGCCAGGCAGAAGCCACCUCCUUCUACCCCCUGUUGUGAGUUAGAGCAGAACUCUGGCGCAGCAAAGGGCCUGGUCCUGGCAGAUUUUAAAGAGGAAGCUGCAUUUAAAUUCUCAAGUACGCCCCCCCCCCAUAUGUCUCAAGGUUAGGGGUCGUGAUUACCCCUGGUCUGUCACCUUCCCUGGCUUUCUGUCUGCCUGAGACUGAGUGAGCACCUCUGCAGGCCCAGGCUAUCCCCCUUGCCCUUGGUAAAAGUAGCCUUCUCCUUGGCCAGAGAGUCAUUGGCAAGGAAUGCAGUCUCAGAACGGAGUCCUGUAUUUGCCGUGACUGGACUUUAGGGUGUGGGGCAAUGAGUUCUGCUGUCCUCUUGGGUACCAGGGAGCAGAGGUUUCGAAAUCUGGGUUGAUCUGUAAAACCUAGGACGCGUGACUGUGCGCAGAGGAGGUCUAGCCCCUGUCCAACCUCCCUGACCUUCUGCCCGCUCUCCCAGGGAGACUAGGCCUUCCUGGCAGCAGUCUUUGGGCAGGUGUCACAAGUCUGUCCCCCAGUCAUUGCACUAUCCCUGGUCGGGGGGCAGGUGGGGGGCGGGGAGGACGCUGCAGCUCUACAACCCUGGCCUAAACCCAUAGAGGCAGAUGCCCCUCGCCCGCAGCCAGCCCCUCUGGCAUUCACCCACCAUUGGAUAGAGGCCACUGAAAAAUAAAAUUGGGAGGUUCCCUGUAGACGCCGAUAUG